rnacentral:rRNA from 1 species
GACAGAGGGGGCAAGCGUUGCUCGGAAUCACUGGGCGUAAAGGGCGCGUAGGCGGGAUGGCAAGUCAGUCGUGAAAUCUCUCGGCUCAACCGAGAAACGUCGGCUGAUACUGCCGUUCUUGAGGGAUGCAGAGGAGACUGGAAUUCCCGGUGUAGCGGUGAAAUGUGUAGAGAUCGGGAGGAACACCGGUGGCGAAGGCGGGUCUGCUGGGCAUGCUCCUCGACGCUGAGGCGCGAAAGCGUGGGGAGCAAACGGG